UCUUACGGCCAUACCAUCCUGAAUGCGCCUGAUCUCGUCAGAUCUCGGAAGCUAAGCAGGGUUGGGCCUGGUUAGUACAUGCAUGGGAGACUUCCUGGGAAUACCAGUUGCUGUAAGCA
ensembl:rRNA 5S_rRNA 5S ribosomal RNA